UACGUAGGGUGCAGGCGUUAAUCGGAAUCACUGGGCGUAAAGCGUGCGCAGGCGGUUUCUUAAGUCAGAUGUGAAAGCCCCGGGCUUAACCUGGGAACUGCGUUUGAAACUGGGAGACUUGAGUGUGGCAGAGGGGGGUGGAAUUCCACGUGUAGCAGUGAAAUGCGUAGAUAUGUGGAGGAACACCGAUGGCGAAGGCAGCCCCCUGGGUUAACACUGACGCUCAUGCACGAAAGCGUGGGGAGCAAACAGG
rnacentral:rRNA from 1 species